rnacentral:tRNA from 1 species
UCAUUGGUGGUCCAGUGGUUAGGAUUCGGCACUUUCACUGCUGUAGCCUGGGUUUGUUUCCCCUUCAGGGAA